rfam:Candidatus Blackburnbacteria bacterium RIFCSPHIGHO2_01_FTLL_43_15b rifcsphigho2_01_scaffold_3413, whole genome shotgun sequence.
UUAAUUGAGGGUUUGAUCCUGGCCCAGGACGAACGCUAGCGGCGUGCCUUAGGCAUGCAAGUCGAGCGGGCCGCCCCCGUAAGGGGGCGAGCCAGCGGCAGACGGCUGAGUAAUACGCAGGGACAUACCCCAGAGUGGAGGAUAGCUCACCGAAAGGUGUGGUAAUACUCCAUACCAUCGCAAGAUGAAAGUUCUUAACGGGGCGCUCAGGGAGUGACCUGCGGCCUAUCAGCUAGUUGGUGGGGUAACGGCCUACCAAGGCUACGACGGGUAGGGGAUGUGAGAGCAUGAUCCCCCAGAAUGGGACUGAGACACGGCCCAUACACCUACGGGUGGCAGCAACUGGGAAUCGUACGCAAUGGACGAAAGUCUGACGUCGCGACGCCGCGUGGAGGAUGACAGCCUUAGGGUUGUAAACUCCUUUUGCCCCGCAUAUUGCGGGGAGAAUAAGUACCUGCUAACUCCGUGCCAGAAGCCUCGGUGAGACGGAGGGUGCAAGCGUUGUCCGGAUUUACUGGGCGUAAAGGGUCUGUAGGCGGUUUGAUGCGUCUUUUUGUUAAAGGCACAGGCUUAACCUGCUGCAUGUCAGAAGAUACGAUCAGACUUUGAGGGUUUUCGGGGAUGUUGGAACUUGUGGUGGAGGGGUGAAAUCCGUUGAUAUCACAAGGAACACCAACGGCGAAGGCGGACAUCUAGAAAACACCUGACGCUGAGGGACGAAAGCUAGGGGAGCGAAAGGGAUGGACCAGCUUUGUAGCUGGAAUGACAAAAAACAAUGUCAAAUAUCAAAUGGUUAAUUACAGGAACUGUUUGGUAUUGCUACAGAGAAAUUAGUCCCGUUUAAUUUGGCUAUAUGCUGGAAAGACUCAAGUAUUCGACAGUACCGCAAGGUGAAAAUCUGAUCGGUGGAGUUAAUCAGCAGGAAAGGCUACGUUCAAUUAAAUGAAUGUGGAAUCCUCAACGACUAUACGCCAAACCCUGAAUUAAAUUCAGGGAAGAUAUAGUCUGACCUUCAUGGCGACAUGAAGUACUAAGCAGAAAUGACUUAGUCCGAUCUCAAAGUUCAAGUUUUGAGUUCGUGCAACGAAUGUGUAGAGACCCCUGUAGUCCUAGCCGUAAACUAUGCUCGCCAGGGAUGGGCCGCAAGGUCCGUUCCAUAGCUAACGCGUUAAGCGAGCCGCCUGGGGAGUACGACCGCAAGGUUAAAACUCAAAGGAAUUGACGGGAGAGCGCACAACCAGUGGAUCAUGUUGUUCAAUUCGAUACAAACCGAUGAACCUUACCCAGACUUGACAUGCAACUGCAAGUCCGGCGAAAGCCGGGCCUUCUUCGAGAGUGUUGCACAGGUGUUGCAUGGCUGUCGUCAGCUCGUGCCGUGGGGUAUCUUCUUAAGUGAAGGAACGAGCGCAACCCCUACUAUAUGUUAAAUUGAUCAUAUGGGACUGCCCCGCCUUUUGGCGGGGAGGAAGGAGGGGAUGACGUCAAGUCAGCAUGGCCCUUAUGUCUGGGGCUACAAACAUGAUACAAUGGGGAGGACAAUGGGUUGCCAAGCCGCGAGGCGGAGCUAAUCCCUAAAACCUCCUCUCAGUUGGGAUUGCAGGCUGCAACUCGCCUGCAUGAACCCGGAAUUGGUAGUAAUCGCGGAUCAGCUAUACCGCGGUGAAUACGUUCUCGCUCUUUGUACACAAAAUUAAUGCGCGCCUGGCAGCUAUUAAGACUAAGUGGUUAAAAUCCACU